UACGGAGGGUGCAAGCGUUGUCCGGAAUUAUUGGGUUUAAAGGGUACGCAGGCGGUUUAAUAAGUCAGUGGUUAAAGGCAGCAGCUUAACUGUAUGCACGCCAUUGAUACUGUUAGACUUGAGUGAUGGAGAGGUAGGCGGAAUUCCUCAUGUAGCGGUGAAAUGCACAGAUAUGAGGAGGAACUCCGACGGCGAAGGCAGCUUACCGGCCAUCAACUGACGCUGAGGUACGAAAGUGUGGUUAGCGAACAGG
rnacentral:rRNA from 1 species